rnacentral:sRNA from 1 species
UGAUUGUAUAGAGCCGGUGACAAGCCACCC